rnacentral:misc_RNA from 1 species
GAUGAAGAACGCAGCAAAAUGCGAUAAGUAAUGUGAAUUGCAGAAUUCAGUGAAUCAUCGAAUCUUUGAACGCACAUUGCGCCCGCUGGUAUUCCGGCGGGCAUGCCUGUUCGAGCGUCAUUUCAACCCUCAAGACCCCGGGUUUGGUGUUGGGGAUCGGCUCUGCCCUUCUGGGCGGUGCCGCCCCCGAAAUACAUUGGCGGUCUCGCUGCAGCCUCCAUUGCGUAGUAGCUAACACCUCGCAACUGGAACGCGGCGCGGCCAUGCCGUAAAACCCCAACUUCUGAAUGUUGACCUCGGAUCAGGUAGGAAUACCCGCUGAACUUAAGCAUAUCAAUAAGCGGAGGA